UCAUUUCUCUUUCCAGUGGUUUACAAUAUGAUUGUAAGCAAUCAUACUAUUUUUUUGAAAACAGUGGGAGGAUGAACUCAAAGAGAAAUCUCUAAAGAACAACGAGUCAUAGUAUCUAUACAACAUAUUUAAGAUGAGCCAGUAUAUGUACUACUUCCUCCACCUCAUAGAUCUAGUAGGAUCUCCCAUCCUUUAGAAAGGUAUUUGGUAUUCUUACAAAGGAUUCAAAGAAAGUAUUUCUUGAGGG
rnacentral:lncRNA from 1 species